GGCGGACGGGUGAGUAAUGCCUAGGAAUCUGCCUGGUAGUGGGGGACAACGUUUCGAAAGGAACGCUAAUACCGCAUACGUCCUACGGGAGAAAGCAGGGGACCUUCGGGCCUUGCGCUAUCAGAUGAGCCUAGGUCGGAUUAGCUAGUUGGUGAGGUAAUGGCUCACCAAGGCGACGAUCCGUAACUGGUCUGAGAGGAUGAUCAGUCACACUGGAACUGAGACACGGUCCAGACUCCUACGGGAGGCAGCAGUGGGGAAUAUUGGACAAUGGGCGAAAGCCUGAUCCAGCCAUGCCGCGUGUGUGAAGAAGGUCUUCGGAUUGUAAAGCACUUUAAGUUGGGAGGAAGGGUUGUAGAUUAAUACUCUGCAAUUUUGACGUUACCGACAGAAUAAGCACCGGCUAACUCUGUGCCAGCAGCCGCGGUAAUACAGAGGGUGCAAGCGUUAAUCGGAAUUACUGGGCGUAAAGCGCGCGUAGGUGGUUUGUUAAGUUGGAUGUGAAAUCCCCGGGCUCAACCUGGGAACUGCAUCCAAAACUGGCAAGCUAGAGUAUGGUAGAGGGUGGUGGAAUUUCCUGUGUAGCGGUGAAAUGCGUAGAUAUAGGAAGGAACACCAGUGGCGAAGGCGACCACCUGGACUGAUACUGACACUGAGGUGCGAAAGCGUGGGG
rnacentral:rRNA from 1 species